UGAGACACGGUCCAGACUCCUACGGGAGGCAGCAGUGGGGAAUAUUGCACAAUGGGCGCAAGCCUGAUGCAGCCAUGCCGCGUGUGUGAAGAAGGCCUUCGGGUUGUAAAGCACUUUCAGUCGUGAGGAAGGUKKWGKMGUUAAUAGCKKCWWYRUUUGACGUUAGCGACAGAAGAAGCACCGGCUAACUCCGUGCCAGCAGCCGCGGUAAUACGGAGGGUGCGAGCGUUAAUCGGAAUUACUGGGCGUAAAGCGCAUGCAGGUGGUUUGUUAAGUCAGAUGUGAAAGCCCGGGGCUCAACCUCGGAAUUGCAUUUGAAACUGGCAGACUAGAGUACUGUAGAGGGGGGUAGAAUUUCAGGUGUAGCGGUGAAAUGCGUAGAGAUCUGAAGGAAUACCGGUGGCGAAGGCGGCCCCCUGGACAGAUACUGACACUCAGAUGCGAAAGCGUGGGGAGCAAACAGGAUUAGAUACCCUGGUAGUCCACGCCGUAAACGAUGUCUACUUGGAGGUUGUGGCCUUGAGCCGUGGCUUUCGGAGCUAACGCGUUAAGUAGACCGCCUGGGGAGUACGGUCGCAAGAUUAAAACUCAAAWGAAUUGACGGGGGCCCGCACAAGCGGUGGAGCAUGUGGUUUAAUUCGAUGCAACGCGAAGAACCUUACCUACUCUUGACAUCCAGAGAACUUUCCAGAG
rnacentral:rRNA from 1 species